rnacentral:lncRNA from 1 species
UGUCUAAUUGGUAACCUACUGAAAAACCUUUUUUUUUUUUUUUUUUUGCCAUAGGUCAUUUAAUCUAGCAGUCUGAGUAAAGACUAGAAGAGCAGUUCAGUUCCAGCCUGACCACGUUGUUUUCAAAGCAGGUCAUUUCUGUACCGUGAACUAGAGAUCAGUUCAAACAGUGCAGCACAGUGCCAGUCUAACUGCAGAAGACAACCAUGUGCUGACAACACUAAAAAAAUCUUUUAACUGGAUACGUAGUAACAGUGCUGAGAUCAUUCAUGAUUACUUUAAAUAAAGGUAGUGUUUUAAAUUUGUGCUGCACAUCAAAGGAAUAGGAAAUGCAUAUUUAAGAGUCUGGCGCGAAGCAAAUUAAGAGUC